rnacentral:lncRNA from 1 species
AUUUUUCUGAGCAGCGGUGGAUUUAAAUACUUGCAUUGUUUCGCAUGAAGCAGCACAUUAAUGUGGAACAAAUCUGCCGGGGAGAAUGAAACCCUUCCGGCUGUGCGCAGGUCCUGCUCAAGAGGUGGGAGAAUCCCGGGAGAAUUUCUCGGGAUUCCAGCAGCGCGGAGCGGGAGAGACACCAGCUCAGGUCUGAGGAAGCACAGCACAGCUUCUCGUGGAGAUGGGAUCUCGGCUACGACGGGAAGCCGUGCAGAGGUCAGAGGUCACAGGAGCCGAGGAGAAGUCCGCUCUCGGGGAAUGAAGCGCUGGGGGGAGCAAGCGAGGGACCCGCCGGAAUGCGCCUUGAAUCCGGGGGGGGGAGGUCAGAGGUUAUCGGGCUGCUGCUUCAGGGGCCGUCAAGUGGCUGGAGACUGAGCGCUGUGUGGCAGUCCAGGAGCAACCCAGCCAGGUCUGUAACGAUUUUCUGGAUGCAUUAAUGACUUCUUAAUGCGUGGCAGGAAAGGCCAAACUCCUCCCCAGGAAGAGACCCUUUUUAAUUUCAAGGUCGUGCAGUUGAGAGAGCAGAAUUUUAAUCAGGCCCUGUUACGUUACAAUUGUAUAACAGGCGACCAAGGCCUGCUGUAGCAAAUUGUGCACAAAGGCGUUCAAAGGAACGUCCUACACUGGCAGACUGGAGGAACUGAGGCUUUUUAGACCCGAACAAAAGAUGAACACAAGAUAAUCUGAUCCCUUUCGAAUUUCACAUUCCUACCCAGAAUUAUUCUCUGGAAUUUUCUAA